CCAACUCCUCCCUCCCCAGCACCAUGGCCUCUGUGGGCCCUGAGGACUUACUUCGAUGGACCUUGAGGACGGUAUACGCCAUGGUGGUUCUGCUCACCCGUGCCAAGCAUGAGACUCCCCAACUCCUCCCUCCCCAGCACCAUGGCCUCUGUGGGCCCUGAGGACUUACUUCGAUGGACCUUGAGGACGGUAUACGCCAUGGUGGUUCUGCUCACCCGUGCCAAGCAUGAGACUCCCCAACUCCUCCCUCCCCAGCACCAUGGCCUCUGUGGGCCCUGAGGACUUACUUCGAUGGACCUUGAGGACGGUAUA